rnacentral:rRNA from 9 species
UCAUCACGGCCCUUACGUCCUGGGCUACACACGUGCUACAAUGGGCGGUACAGAGGGCUGCAAACUCGCGAGAGCAAGCCAAUCCCUUAAAACCGUUCGUAGUCCGGAUUGGAGUCUGCAACUCGACUCCAUGAAGUCGGAAUCGCUAGUAAUCGCGAAUCAGAAUGUCGCGGUGAAUACGUUCCCGGGCCUUGUACACACCGCCCGUCACACCAUGGGAGUGGGUUGCAAAAGAAGUGGGUAGCAUAACCUUCGGGAGUGCGCUCACCACUUUGUGAUUCAUGACUGGGGUGAAGUCGUAACAAGGUAGCCGUAGGGGAACCUGCGGCUGGAUCACCUCCUU